rnacentral:rRNA from 1 species
AGUUCGGUCUCUAUCCUCUGCGCGCGUAGGAAAUUUGAGAAGACCUGACCCUAGUACGAGAGGACCGGGUUGGACAAACCUCUGGUGUGUCAGUUGUCCUGCCAAGGGCACCGCUGAUUAGCUACGUUUGGGAGGGAUAACCGCUGAAAGCAUCUAAGCGGGAAGCCUGCUUCAAGAUGAGAUUUCCAUGACUUUAUGUCGAGAGGGCCGCAGCUAGAUUACUGCGUUGAUAGGCGGGAUGUGGAAGUGCUGAAAGGCAUGGAGCUGACCCGUACUAAUAGCCCGAUAACUUGAUAAA